rnacentral:rRNA from 1 species
UACGGAGGGAGCUAGCGUUGUUCGGAAUUACUGGGCGUAAAGCGCACGUAGGCGGCUUUGUAAGUCAGAGGUGAAAGCCUGGAGCUCAACUCCAGAACUGCCUUCGAUACUGGCGAUCUUGAGUCCGGAAGAGGUGAGUGGAACUCCUAGUGUAGAGGUGGAAUUCGUAGAUAUUAGGAAGAACACCAGUGGCGAAGGCGGCUCACUGGUCCGGUACUGACGCUGAGGUGCGAAAGCGUGGGGAGCAAACAGG